GCCAGGUGCAGUGAUGUAUGCCUGUAAUCCCAGACACUUGGGAGGCUGAGGCAAGAGGAUGGCAAGUUUGAGGCCAGUCUUGGCAACUUAGUCAGACACUGUCUCAA
rnacentral:sRNA from 1 species